AGUAUUAGUUAUGUGCUUGAAAUUUAAAGGAUUUGGCGGUAUUUUAGUCUUUUCAGAGGUUCCUGUCCUGUGAUUGAUAAUCCACGAUUAAUUGUACUUAUUUUAUUAGUUUGUAUAUCGUCGUAGAUUGAAUGUUUUAAAAGAAUGAGGAAUGUUCAAGAUUUAUUAUUAUAAAAGAAAUCAGAUCAAGGUGUAGCUUAUAAAUAAGGAGAGAUGGGUUACAUUAAAUUUAUUUAAUUGGUUAAAAUAAUUAACAUUAUUUUAUAAAUUGGAUUUGAAAGUAAUAUAAUUUAGUUAAAUUAUAUGAUUAUAGCUCUAAGAUAUGCACAUAUCGCCCGUCGCUCCCACUUUAAGGUGGGAUAAGUCGUAACAAAGUAGGUGUACUGGAAAGUGUACCUAGAUCGUCAAAUUAGAGCUUGUUAGAAAGUAUUUUAUUUACAUUAAAAAGUGAGUUGUGAGAAUCAAUUUAAUUUGAUAAUAAUUAUUUUAUUAGUGAAAUUAAAAAAAAAAAUUUUGUUAUUAGUAUUUUAUUAGAAUAUAGGGGAAUUUAAUUAUAGUUAAUUAGUAUAGUGAUAGGAUAGUUGAAAUAUUAAUUAAAUUUAUAAAAAGAAGGAUUAGAUUUUUGUACCUUGUGUAUCAGGGUUUAUUAAAAUAAGUUUAAAAAUUUAAUAUUCUCGAAUUUUUAAGAGCUAAUAGUUUAUAAAUUUAAUUGUGAAAUAAAUUUUUUUAAUAAAUUAUUAGAAAUGAAACGUUAGUCGUUUAGGGAGAUAUCUAGUUUUUUAAGAAAUAAAUUUAAUUUAAUUUUUUAGAUUUAUAAUAUUAAUUUAUUAAUAUUAUAAUUUAAGAAUUAAAAAUUUUAGGGGAUAAGCUUUAAAAUUUAUUAUUUAAAAAUUUAUUAUUAUUAAUAGUAAAAUUAAUAGAAUUAGGAGUUUUAAUUUUUUAGUGUGUUAUAAUUAAUUUUAUUUUUUAUAUGAUUUAUAUUUAUUUUAAAUUUUAUAUUAAAAUGAUUUAUAAAAUAAAAUUUUAUAUGUAAUAAUGAUUAAAUUAGUAUAAUUUAAUGUUAGAUUAAAUUUUUAUAUUAAGGUUAAGUUAAGGAAUUCGGCAAAUAUAGUUUUUCGCCUGUUUAUUAAAAACAUGGCCUUUUGAUUAUAAUUUAAGGUCUGACCUGCCCACUGAGGAUUUAAAUGGCCGCGGUAUUUUGACCGUGCAAAGGUAGCAUAAUAAUUAGUUUUUUAAUUGAAAGCUGGAAUGAACGGUUGGACGAGAAAAUGACUGUCUUGAUUUAAUUUAAAUUAAAAUUUUAUUUUUAAGUAAAAAAGCUUAAAUUUUAUUAAAAGACGAGAAGACCCUGUAGAGUUUUAUAUAUGUGUAUAUUGGGAUUAUUUAGUUAGUUUAUUUUUUAAUAUAUAAAUGUAUUUUGUUGGGGUGACAGAAAAAUUUGAUAAACUUUUUUUAAAAGUAUUCACUA
rnacentral:rRNA from 1 species